UACGGGGGGAGCAAGCGUUGUUCGGAUUUACUGGGCGUAAAGGGCGCGUAGGCGGCCAGCACAAGUCAGUUGUGAAAUCUCCGAGCUUAACUCGGAACGGUCAGAUGAUACUGCUUUGCUAGAGUGCAGAAGGGGCAACCGGAAUUCUUGGUGUAGCGGUGAAAUGCGUAGAUAUCAAGAGGAACACCGGAGGUGAAGACGGGUUGCUGGGCUGACACUGACGCUGAGGCGCGAAAGCUAGGGUAGCAAACGGG
rnacentral:rRNA from 1 species